UGGGGAAUUUUGGACAAUGGGCGCAAGCCUGAUCCAGCCAUGCCGCGUGCGGGAAGAAGGCCUUCGGGUUGUAAACCGCUUUCGUCAGGGAAGAAAUCUUCUGAGUUAGUACCUCGGGAGGAUGACGGUACCUGAAGAAUAAGCACCGGCUAACUACGUGCCAGCAGCCGCGGUAAUACGUAGGGUGCAAGCGUUAAUCGGAAUUACUGGGCGUAAAGCGUGCGCAGGCGGUUUUGUAAGACAGAGGUGAAAUCCCCGGGCUCAACCUGGGAACUGCCUUUGUGACUGCAAGGCUUGAGUGCGGCAGAGGGGGGAUGGAAUUCCGCGUGUAGCAGUGAAAUGCGUAGAUAUGCGGAGGAACACCGAUGGCGAAGGCAAUCCCCUGGGCCUGCACUGACGCUCAUGCACGAAAGCGUGGGGAGCAAACAGGAUUAGAUACCCUGGUAGUCCACGCCCUAAACGAUGUCAACUGGUUGUUGGGAAGGUUCCCUCUCAGUAACGUAGCUAACGCGUGAAGUUGACCGCCUGGGGAGUACGGCCGCAAGGUUGAAACUCAAAUGAAUUGACGGGGU
rnacentral:rRNA from 1 species